GUCUCUGUGGCGCAAUAGGUUAGCGCGUUCGGCUGUUAACUCAAAGGUUGGUGGUUCACUCCCACCCAAAGACG
rfam:Danio rerio chromosome 4, GRCz11 reference primary assembly.